AUGCUCACUUCAACAGCACAUAUGCUGAUAUUGGAAUGAUACAGAGAAGGUUAAUGUGGCCCCUGUGCAAUCAUGACACAUAAAUUUGUGAAGUGUUCCAAUUUUUU
ensembl:snRNA U6 U6 spliceosomal RNA